UCCCUGGUGGCCUAGUGGUUAGGAUUCCAAGCUUUCACUGUGGUGACCCGGGUUCAAUCCCUGGUCGGGGAA
rnacentral:tRNA from 1 species